GUGUCAGCCGCCGCGGUAAUACGUAGGGGGCUAGCGUUGUCCGGAAUCAUUGGGCGUAAAGCGCGUGUAGGCGGCUCGGUAAGUCCGCUCUGAAAGCCCGAGGCUCAACCUCGGGAGGCGGGUGGAUACUGCCGGGCUCGAGUCCGGAAGAGGCGAGUGGAAUUCCCGGUGUAGCGGUGAAAUGCGCAGAUAUCGGGAGGAACACCAAUGGCGAAGGCAGCUCGCUGGGACGGUACUGACGCUGAGACGCGAAAGCGUGGGGAGCAAACAGGAUUAGAAACCCGGGUAGUCC
rnacentral:rRNA from 1 species